GAGCUCAGGUGCAAGCAAUGCAGCUGAGUGACCAGAAGGAGUGGAGCCAGGAUCCGCCUCUUUCCAGACUUCAUUUAAGGGUUGCCAGUGGAGGUGAGGGUAUCUUGCUGAAGAUCUAUGCUUAUUUGAGGUCUUUCAUAGAAACAGGCUUUCCACAGGAAUUUCUACAAAAGUCUGAUGAAGCUGACUCACGGAAUCAAACUCUAUAACCACAAAGUAGUUAUAAAAUCAGGUUCAGCUCUCAGAGCUUUCCCCAAAGAUGAAGUUAUAUCCUUUGUUCUGGGAUUUGCCGGCCUGCCAGAAUUCUAGAAGAGUGAGCAGUAUGAACAAUGAAGGCGCUUACACUAAAGACAAAGGCAGAGGUUCCCAGAUGAUGAUACAAUAAAGAUAGAGGAAGGAACAUGAACCAGAAUAGGACAGAAUGACUGCGUUUCCAGAUCUCACAUCAAGAAGGAGCCAAGAUGUAGUUAGUCUAUGGAACUAGGCCUGAAGGCUCAGCAACAUAGAGGUGAUCAGAGAAUACCUCAGCCUGGAGGGGAACAGUGACCCAAGUAUCGCUGAUUACUGGAUUCUUACAGAUAGGAGCAAAAUGUUGAUACUUUUGCUGGCUACUACACUGAUGACUAUUAAUGCUCUUCCUAUGCAAGUCUGUAUGCCUAGUUCAAAUGGGAAUUUGAAACAGUUUCCACUUUUUCACUUUAACAGAAUUUGUGAUAUCUGUUGCUUCUCCUUUAGAUUCUAUAUAACUGCCCUAUUUUGCUGUAUAUUAUCCUACAAAGGAGGCUAGUUUGACUAGAAGACAAAUGUAUAGUUAUGUGUACAUAUUCAUUAUACAUAUGCAUUAUACAUAACAAAGAUAAUUAUUUCUUUUUGUUUUUGAUGGGGAUAUAAAAGAGGUGACUAGCCAAAAUAUAUAUAUGAUGAAAAUAUCAGUUUUCUCAGUCCAAUGUCUCUAAAACAUAAAAGUGCAUGGCACUGUCCCAGAGUUAACAUUAGACGUUCUCCUCAGGGGUACACUGCUGAAUGUGUUAUCCCUUGACCACCAGUCAGAAUGCAGGAAUCUCAGCGCUAUUCAAAGAGUAUGAAAGUCAGAAUAGAGGAGAGAAAGAAUAUUACUAGAGAAGGUAGAUUUUAUAGAAAGGCUGAGCUGUGAUGCUAAUAUGUUCUGUGAUAUGCAUUACCUACUGAAAGCCAUAUUUAAUGGCUGAAAGUAUAUAAUAUUUAGCAUUUACAUAGUGCUUCACAUCUUCAAAGAACUAUGCAAGCAAACUAAUAAAUCUUUGGGAUUUUAAGAUCUUAACUUAGGUAGAUUCCUCUUUGAAUGUUCUGUGUAAAACAAAUGAUUACAUCAACAUACAAUAUAGUACAAACAACAGCAAUACUAUCACCAGCCAUCUGACUUAGUUAAGUAUAAUUCUGUCCUCUGCUUAUGGGAAAGUUGAGAUUUAAAUAUUGGGAAAUUUCCAUGAUGUAUGCCAAUUAAAGAGCU
ensembl:lncRNA